GAAUUCAAGAGAGUUGAUGCUGGCGGUCUUGUGGCUGCAUGUGCUCGCUCUCCUAAUCCAAUUUACACCUGUGCACUUAACUUUGAAGGGAGGGUAAAACCUGCCUUCGAAAUCUUUAAACUCUUAUAUAACGAAUGUUUAUCUGCCGCAAGGCAAAAUUUAAUACAACUUUUAACAACGGAUCUCUUGGCUCUCGCAUCGAUGAAGAACGCAGCGAAAUGCGAUAAGUAAUGUGAAUUGCAGAAUUCAGUGAAUCAUCGAAUCUUUGAACGCACCUUGCGCUCCCUGGUAUUCCGGGGAGCACGCCUGUUCGAGUGUCAUGAAACUCUCAAGCAAGAUAGAUU
rnacentral:misc_RNA from 1 species